CCUACGGGUGGCAGCAGUCGAGAAUCAUUCACAAUGGGGGAAACCCUGAUGGUGCGACGCCGCGUGGGGGAAUGAAGGUCUUCGGAUUGUAAACCCCUGUCAUGUGGGAGCAAAUUAAAAAGAUAGUACCACAAGAGGAAGAGACGGCUAACUCUGUGCCAGCAGCCGCGGUAAUACAGAGGUCUCAAGCGUUGUUCGGAAUCACUGGGCGUAAAGCGUGCGUAGGCUGUUUCGUAAGUCGUGUGUGAAAGGGGCGGGCUCAACCCGCGGACGGCAGAUGAUACUGCGAGACUAGAGUAAUGGAGGGGGAACCGGAAUUCGCGGUGUAGCAGUGAAAUGCGUAGAUAUCGAGCGGAACACUCGUGGCGAAGGCGGGUUCCUGGACAUUAACUGACGCUGAGGCACGAAGGCCAGGGGAGCGAAAGGGAUUAGAUACCCUUGUAGUC
rnacentral:rRNA from 1 species